rnacentral:rRNA from 1 species
AGCUCCAAUGGCAUAUAUUAAAUUUGCUGCAGUUAAAAAGCUCGUAGUUGCAUUUCUUUUGGAAAAAGGAUGUCAGAUUUCCUGACCCUAUUUCCAAACCUUUGAAUGAUUUUUGCACUGCAUUAAGUUGUUAUGCAUAAGUUAUUCAUCAUUUACUGUGAGUAAAUCAGAGCGUUCAAAGCAAGUGUUUGCAUAUGAAUGUGACAGCAUGGAAUAAUAAUAUAAGAUUUUAAUACAGUUUGUUGGUACUUGUAUUGAAAACAUGAUGAAGAGGAACAAAUAGGGGUAUUUGUAUUCCAGUGUCAGAGGUGAAAUUCUUGGAUUGCUGGAAGACAAACGACUGCGAAAGCAUUUACCAAAAAUGUUUCCG